UGGGGAAUUUUACGCAAUGGGGGAAACCCUGACGUAGCGACACCGCGUGAGCGAAGAAGCCUUUUGGGGUGUAAAGCUCUGUCAGCUGGAACGAACACAAUGACGGUACCAGCAGAGGAAGCAUCGGCUAACUACGUGCCAGCAGCCGCGGUAAGACGUAGGAUGCAAGCGUUGUCCGGAUUCAUUGGGCGUAAAGAGUUCGUAGGUGGUCUGUUAAGUUUGGUGUUAAAGAGCGGGGCCCAACCCCGAUAGUGCACUGAAUACUGGCAGACUUGAGUGCGGUAGAGGUAAGUGGAAUUCCAAGUGUAGCGGUGAAAUGCAUAGAUAUUUGGAAGAACACCGGUGGCGUAAGCGACUUACUGGGCCGUAACUGACACUGAGGAACGAAAGCCGGGGUAGCGAAUG
rnacentral:rRNA from 1 species